GUGGGGAAUAUUGGACAAUGGGCGAAAGCCUGAUCCAGCAAUGCCGCGUGAGUGAUGAAGGCCUUAGGGUUGUAAAGCUCUUUUACCAGGGAUGAUAAUGACAGUACCUGGAGAAUAAGCUCCGGCUAACUCCGUGCCAGUAGCCGCGGUAAUACGGAGGGAGCUAGCGUUGUUCGGAAUUACUGGGCGUAAAGCGCGCGUAGGCGGUUUAUCAAGUCAGGGGUAAAAUCCCGGGGCUCAACCCCGGAACUGCCCUUGAAACUGGUUCACUAGAAUCCUGGAGAGGCGAGUGGAAUUCCGAGUGUAGAGGUGAAAUUCGUAGAUAUUCGGAAGAACACCAGUGGCGAAGGCGACUCGCUGGACAGGUAUUGACGCUGAGGUGCGAAAGCGUGGGGAGCAAACAGGAUUAGAUACCCGAGUAGUCC
rnacentral:rRNA from 1 species